rnacentral:misc_RNA from 1 species
UACUUUAUUGUUACUGAUUUUUAAACUUAAACAUAACUAAGGUUAGUUUACAAUAUAUCGGGAAUCAAAUACAUUUAAUUAGCUAAACGCAAUACAAUGACAUAAACUUUACUCAACAUUAUCUUUAAGGGACUUGGACACGAUUUGACAAAAAAAUUUCAAAUUUUAUUUUUUCAGUUUCAAUGUUUAUACUGAAAAAUAUAGAAGUUUUUAAUGCUACAUGUAUGUCAAAAUUUGAAAGUCAAAUAUCAAGUUAUAAGCAAGAUUCAGAGUUCACAAUUCUUUGUUUUGUAAACAAAGCUCGAAUAUUGCCAAUUUUUUACAUAUGUGUUGUAUUGCUGUAAGUUUCAAUCAAAUGUAUCUUUCUUUUGUUGAUACUAGAAUUUAUGAAGAUAUUGAGUUAGUUUACAUUGUUUUUUACAUGUCAUCCUGUCUAAGAAAUGGUACUAAUUUUCGACAUUACAUUUUUUGUAAACAACUACUCGAGCUUUGUUUACAUAACAUUACGUCUGUAUGUCGCUUGUAACUUAACUUUAACAUUCAAUAUUUUGGUCAAUCGUUUAAAAUGCACCAGUAAACCAUUCUAUACAUAAAAAAUAAAAAUAAAACUUUUGAUCUUUAAUUGUGUCCAAGUCCCUUUAAGAAAUUGAUUUAAGAUGUUUUACCUUCAUGUAAUUGAUGUACAUGUAUGUCUCAUCUGAUAUAAAAAUAAUGUAGCUAUCUUUACGGGUCCUAUUCAGAGAAUCAAACCAAAGUGCUUAUUAAAAACCUGUUCAUCGU